rnacentral:rRNA from 1 species
UAGUGAGUUUGAUCCUGGCUCAGGAUGAACGCUAGCGGCAGGCCUAAUACAUGCAAGUCGAACGGUGGUAGCAAUACCAUAGUGGCGCACGGGUGCGUAACGCGUAACCAACCUGCCCGGAACUGGGGGAUAGCCCGCCGAAAGGCGGAUUAAUACCGCAUAUACCAGCAGCCUGGCAUCAGGCAAUUGGGAAAGAUUUUAUUGGUUCAGGAUGGGGGUUGCGUGACAUUAGCUAGUUGGC